rnacentral:rRNA from 1 species
CCCUUAGAUGUUCUGGGCUGCACACGCGCUACACUGGCAGGUUCAGCGAGCUUCUUGCCCUGAUCUGAGAAGAAUGGGAAACCUUUUCAACACCUGCCGUGCUUGGGAUAGAUGUUUGCAAUUAUUCAUCUUCAACAAGGAUUGCCUUGUAGGCGUGCCUCAUCAGUGCACAUCGAAUACGACCCUGUAUUCUGUACACACCGCCCGUCGCUCCUACCGAUUGAAGUUUUCGGUGAAUUUGCAGGAGGUUUGCUUUGAAACUGGUUCGCCAGUGGAUUUGUGGACCAAAUGCAUGUGAAUCGAUGGCUUUAGAGGAAGGAGAAGUCGUAACA